rnacentral:lncRNA from 1 species
GUUUUGGAAAUGGGCUAUUGAUAUUUAUUGUAGGAACAAGAAAACCAGAUCUCGUUUUUUUUCUGGUGGCCGGUGGCCCUCUCACCGCCGGUCACCCUCUUGUUUCUUCUUGCGCAGGUUCCCGCCUCACACGCUCCACUCUCUUUUCCAAGUACAUCCGAUAUGCGUUUUGCUCUGUAUCUCCACCGGUGUUGACCUCUGGCGGACCUAAAAUUGAACACACGGGUGUCUGUGUUUCCUCUGGAGCAAAAGCGAGGUAUCUUCUUUGGUCUAAGGUGGAGGGUUCCGGACAGGGUACGUUCUACGGCGGGUGAAGACAGAUCUGUGUAGAUCUGGUUCUCGGAGCCGACGGAGACAGUCUGGGAGCGUCGCUGCCUCCUCCUUGUUCCCGCUCGUCUUGCUCUUCUCCGCUGUCGUUUGUUUACUUUCCGGUUAGUUCAGAGUUUCUCAUCUCCUUCUGAGAAAGGCGGUUUCAGAGGCAGCCGCCGAGGACCUCUGUUUUUAGAUCUGAAGUCAGCAAAUCUAGGCGUCACUCUUCUGCCGUUAUGUCUCAUUCGCCGUCUUCCGGAGGCUCUGAGCUUUGAGGACAUGCUUAGUUUCGUUCUCCUUUGUACGGUGAGGUUCCUCUCGUCAGUCGUGUCGCUCUGUUUGUGUGGAGCUCCUGCUCCGGUUCUUCAAGCGCUCGCAGGAAGGUUGUGAGGAGUGUGUCCUGCCUCUUUGUCGAUUGGAAAGCAUCUAUCUCUCCGACGCUGUGGCCGGUGUAAGGAGUUUAAACCACCUCCUGCAGUCCACGAGUCUCGUUUCUUCACCGCUUGGUUUUCCAUUAGUCGGAUUGGAUCAACAGCCGCACCUUCUACAAUCUUCUGGUUUGUUCGGAGUGGACCCUUGACGGAAUGAUAGCCGGGGCCGGGACGCCUAACCGCCUCCGCCUGUCACGUCCUCUGAUUCCUUUCGGGAUCUCAUCCGCUCCUGAACUUUUCCUAGACCUCUAAUCUUUUUUGCAGGUUUCUUUCUUUAAAGUGUCCUCUGGGUCUUCGAGUGCCAAUUGCUGACAUUUAUAUGGUAUUUACAGAUUAGGCUUUGAAUGGUGACCAAAGAACGAAGGGGAACGCUGAAUUCCUUAUCAUUCCAAAAAAAAAUCACCAUUCACAUUAAUAAGUUCAUUUCCUAUUCGUUUUUUGUGUUCCCGAAAAGGUCACCAGUCGGAGCCUAGGAAUACGGGAAAUGGUUUACUUAUAUAUUUGUAAAUUUUAAAUAAAUUAAUAAGAUAGUAAUGUCUUUUUGAAACGUACGUGACUGGAUUAGUAAUCUCCAUAUGUAUAAAUUAUGCAUGAACACAAAAAACUAUACUGGUGUAUUCAUUAUGAACUUAUAAAUGACAACUACCUUAAGAUAUUAUAUUUGUAAUAAAUAUUAAAUAUUACUAAACUAUUAUAGUGUUCUUUUAAAAAUGGACGAACUCCGCACUACAUAUUCGCUACGCCAUAAACAAAAUUAUUUCUUAGACUAAUUGGUUGCUAAUUCGGUUGUAAGAACAUAGAUAAAUCUAUUAAACAAUGUCUAAAUGUUAAAUGUACACAAUUGUGUUAAAGUGCAGACAUUUGUAAGAUAAUAUGUACGCAAUUUUGUCCUUAAUCAGAUAUAAACUAUGAUUAUAGGUAGACUCGGAUCCUUAUUCGAGUAGGACAAAAUCUGAAAUAAUCAUUCAAGUGCUAAAUCUAAUUAUGUCUCAUUCGCCGUCUUCCGGAGGCUCUGAGCUUUGAGGACAUGCUUAGUUUCGUUCUCCUUUGUACGGUGAGGUUCCUCUCGUCAGUCGUGUCGCUCUGUUUGUGUGGAGCUCCUGCUCCGGUUCUUCAAGCGCUCGCAGGAAGGUUGUGAGGAGUGUGUCCUGCCUCUUUGUCGAUUGGAAAGCAUCUAUCUCUCCGACGUUGUGGCCGGUGUAAGGAGUUUAAACCACCGCCUGCAGUCCACGAGUCUCGUUUCUUCACCGCUUGCUUUUCCAUUAGUCAGAUUGGAUCAACAGCCGCAUCUUCUACAAUCUUCUGGUUUGUUCGGAGUGGACCCUUGACGGAAUGAUAGCCGGGGCCGGGACGCCUAACCGCCUCCGCCUGUCACGUCCUCUGAUUCCUUUCGGGAUCUCAUCCGCUCCUGAACUUUUCCUAGACCUCUAAUCUUUUUUGCAGGUUUC